AGCAGCCGCGGUAAUUCCAGCUCCAAUAGCGUAUAUUAAAGUUGUUGCAGUUAAAAAGCUCGUAGUUGAAUUUCGGGGUUAGUAGGUUGGUCAUGCCUCUGGUAUGUACUGGUCUCACUGAUUCCUCCUUCCUGAUGAGCCGUAAUGCCAUUAAUUUGGUGUUGCGGGGAAUUUGGACUGUUACUUUGAAAAAAUUAGAGUGUUUAAAGCAAGCUAACGCUUGAAUACAUUAGCAUGGAAUAAUGAAAUAGGACGUUCGAUCCUAUUUUGUUGGUUUCUAGGAUUGACGUAAUGAUUAAUAGGGAUAGUUGGGGGCAUUAGUAUUCAAUUGUCAGAGGUGAAAUUCUUGGAUUUAUUGAAGACUAACUACUGCGAAAGCAUUUGCCAAGGAUGUUUUCAUUAAUCAAGAACGAAAGUUAGGGGAUCGAAGACGAUCAGAUACCGUCGUAGUCAUUAACCAUAAACUAUGCCGACUAGGGAUCGGAUGAUGUUAAUUUUUUAAUGACUCAUUCGGCGCCUU
rnacentral:rRNA from 1 species